rfam:Brachypodium distachyon strain Bd21 chromosome 2, whole genome shotgun sequence.
UUUGUAUUCCCUCCGAUUCAUAUUACUUGUUAAAAUAUUACAUGUAUCUAGACGCUUUUUAAACAUAGAUACGUUCAUAUUUAGACAAAUUUUAGACAAGUAAUAUGGAUCGGAGGGAGUACUUU